GUGCGGACCACGUAUGAAUAAAUAAUGUCUAAAAACUCACCCACCAAUCUCGUCCAUGUGAGGUAUCUGUACACCAAUCAUCUUCCUUGAGUUUCUAAGUUUUGGUUGGAGGCGCAUAUCCCGAGGCCCAUGUGUAAUGCCUCUGUAGCUCCCCAACGGCUUCCAGAAUAUGGCAGGCACAAUAGAGGGGGGCAGGGAGUGGGAGUAGGGAGUAGUAGAUGUACUUAGUUCAACCAACAGGGGAAAGCCGGCUUGUCACCCAAAACAACGAUUAAGAUGUUGCAAUGCCAAGUGAUAUUAUUAUGCUGGGUCCGAAGGAUUUGAUGAUGCUAAACGGGAUAAUUAGUACAAAAGGUCCUCGUUGUUUGCACUCGUUGUGUAAAUUCUUCACGUCGUUUUAAAUUUGGCAUUCGCACCCUUAUUUUAACAUUUUCUUGUGAAAUUGGUUCUUUUCAUCUCAUUUUGUCAAUUCCUUCCAUCAAAUAUGGGUAAUUGGUACAAAAUAUAUCUAUCAUUUGCUUUUAUUGUGCAAGUUGUUCCUAUCAUUUUAAUUUCGACACUUGAGCUUUUAUAUUGACCUUUCUUUGCCUAAAAGGUUC
rnacentral:lncRNA from 1 species